GAGAAGAGAUUUUUUAACUCCUAGGAUAACUGAAAACUAAAAGAUCAUAAAACAAAAAGGUCAUGGUUUACUAUCUUAAUCUUUCAAGCUAUCCAAAAAGCCCUGCAACUCUUUUAAGCCUUCUGCAGAAAUGCUUCUAUGCACCCUUCCGCGUGGGACAACCAAGUCGGGAGGUCGCUGCUUUUGGAAACACACCACAACCACAGAUAAAUUGUCCCCGCUCUUUCUUUUCAGAGCCUCAUCAACGAGAUCUUUGCAGCACAUCACUGGAUUAUUGUGUUCCUGAAGCUUUCGACGAGCAAAGUCAACAGCAUUCUGGCUCAUGAAUACAUCCCAUAUACCGUCACAGCCUAUUAUGAGAAACUCGUCCUCUUCUGUAAGUCGGGUACUCAUAACUUCAGGUUCUCCACUAAGUGGACCACCAUCAAUAGAUUUUAAUCCUUCCAGAUGCCAAUCUCCUAGAGCACGAGCUACGUUAAGUUGUCCAUUCAGGUAGCCAUCAUACACAUAUCCUCCAGAAGCUUCAAUCCGCUCUUUCUCCCCAAAACAACCAGGUUUGUGAUCUCUCGACAUCUCAAUAGCUUUACCACGACGACAAAGUACAGCUCUACAAUCUCCUGCAUUUGCCACAACCAGCGAACUUCCAAUAACAAGGGCUGCCAAAGCAGUGGUACCGGAAGCAAGAUCAGCAUCCAAGUUGCAGGCUUCUGCGAAAGCAGUAUCAGUUUGCAAAAAUGCAGAAGAAAUUGCCCUAUCAAUCUGCCUUGGGAAGUCUUCAUCCUCAGCAAUAAACCUUGGUAAAUGGUUGCAAGCAAAGUCAGCUGCAUGUUUUCCUCCAUGUCCAUCGAAAACCCCAUAGAAUGCAUGAGUCCCUUCAUUAGAACCAGC
rnacentral:misc_RNA from 1 species